GCUGUAAUGGCUCUGUCUGAACAGUUGAGAGCUUCAUAGUGGAGUAUCCUGUGGUCAUGGGUUCGAGUCUCGCUUUCGAUCCCUCGAUUUGCCAUAACUUCCCGGAGAGGAGUCUCCGGCGGAGAUGGCAAUGAAACCGUGGUGUACCGGUGGAGGUUGGCAACAACGCACACCACGCCCGGGUCCUGGGCAGUGCGAUUGCGAUGGGAUUCACCUUCACAGGAUGU